rnacentral:rRNA from 1 species
UACAGAGGGGGCAAGCGUUAUUCGGAAUUAUUGGGCGUAAAGGGCGCGUAGGCGGCCACCGCAAGUCGGUUGUGAAAUCUCCGGGCUUAACCCGGAAAGGUCAAUCGAUACUGCGGGGCUAGAGUGCAGAAGGGGCAACUGGAAUUCUCGGUGUAGCGGUGAAAUGCGUAGAUAUCGAGAGGAACACCUGCGGCGAAGGCGGGUUGCUGGGCUGACACUGACGCUGAAGCGCGAAAGCUAGGGGAGCGAACGGG